GCAACGUCACACACACAUGUGUACCUCUCUCGAUAAACUCUAGACGUGCAAUAUUUUCCUUUCGCGACAACGUUCUAUUUAUAUUCUUACCAUAAACCCCUCAAGCUCACAUGACACUUUUCUCUCUUAUUGGUCAUCUCUUCUAAGACACCAAAGCCACAUCAUCUCUUAAGAUUCGUGACUAUAUAUUUCUCUUCAGUUCAGGUCUGUUUCUCUCUGUAUCCACUCUUCAGCUCCAGCUCUUGUGUCACACGCACAGUCUUGCGCCACACGUACAAUCUUG